AGACGUGUGCCCAUAGAAUUUAACUUAGAACUGCUUUCAAACGCGGAAAGCUUCUGCAGGGCUGAAAAAAAUAAAUACGUGUCUCUAAAAAUAAAUUCAACGCCCCCAGGCUUUUACAACGAUUUUUGCUAAUUUUGAGAAAAGCAAAAACCAAAACUAAUUAAUCAUGCCGAAGGAACCAAAGUAUGUUGGAGAGGAUCCCGAUCCAACUGAAUAUUUGUAUGUUUCACUCGAACAAAAGCGUAUCGAUCAAUCGAAACCAUACGAUGCCAAGAAAACAUGCUGGGUCCCCUGCGAAAAGGAGGGCUACGUCAUUGGUGAGAUCCAAGCCACCAAGGGUGACCUUAUCACCGUCAAAGUUCCCGGAGGAGAGACCAAGGACUUCAAGAAAGAACAAGUCAACCAGGUCAAUCCUCCAAAAUACGAAAAAGCUGAAGAUAUGUCUAACUUGACAUACCUUAACGAUCCCUCUGUACUUCAUAACUUGAAGCAGAGAUACUAUAACCAACUUAUCUAUACCUACUCUGGUCUUUUCUGCGUUGUAAUCAACCCUUACAAGCGUUGGCCAUUGUAUACCAACCGUGUCGCUAAGAUGUACCGUGGUAAGCGUCGUACUGAAGUGCCACCCCAUUUGUUCGCCAUCUCUGACGGUGCCUACGUCAACAUGUUGACCAAUCACGAAAAUCAAUCUAUGUUGAUUACCGGUGAAUCUGGUGCCGGAAAGACUGAGAACACCAAGAAGGUAAUUGCGUACUUCGCUACCAUUGGUGCCUCCGGCAAGAAGGACCCGACUCAAGAAAGCAAGGGCUCCUUGGAAGAUCAAGUCGUCCAAACGAAUCCCGUACUUGAGGCUUUCGGUAACGCCAAGACUGUGCGUAACGAUAACUCUUCACGUUUCGGUAAAUUCAUCCGUAUUCACUUCUCUGGAUCCGGUAAAUUGGCUGGCGCUGAUAUUGAGACCUACUUGUUGGAGAAGGCUCGUGUCAUCUCCCAACAAUCCUUGGAACGUUCUUACCACGUCUUCUACCAAUUGAUGUCUGGCGCCGUUCCCGGAGUCAAAGAAUAUUGUAUGCUCUCAAACAACAUCUACGAUUACACGAACGUAUCUCAGGGUAAGAUUACUGUACCCGGUAUGGAUGACGGCGAAGAAUGUCAAGCUAUGGACCAUGCCUUCGACAUCUUGGGCUUCACCAAGCAAGAAAAGGAAGAUAUCUACAAGAUUACCGCCGCUGUAAUGCACAUGGGUGCCAUGCAAUUCAAACAACGUGGUCGCGAAGAACAGGCUGAAGCCGAUGGCACUGAAGCCGGUGAAAAGGUCGCCAAAUUGUUCGGUGUUGACUGCGCUGAAUUGUACAAAUCCUUGCUUAAGCCCCGCAUCAAGGUCGGUGCUGAAUUCGUCACCCAAGGUCGUAACAAGGAUCAAGUCACCAACUCUGUCGGUGCCUUGUGUAAGGGUGUGUUCGAUCGUCUCUUCAAAUACUUGGUCAAGAAGUGUAACGAAACCUUGGAUACCAAGCAAAAGCGUCAACACUUCAUCGGUGUAUUGGAUAUCGCUGGUUUUGAAAUUUUCGACUUUAACGGUUUCGAACAAUUGUGUAUUAACUUCACAAAUGAGAAACUUCAGCAAUUCUUUAACCACGUCAUGUUCGUACAAGAACAAGAAGAAUACUGUAAAGAAGGUAUUGAAUGGAAAACCAUUGAUUUCGGUAUGGACUUGGAGUUGUGUAUUUACCUCAUUGAAAAGCCCAUGGGUAUCUUGUCCAUCCUUGAGGAAGAAUCUAUGUUCCCUAAAGCUACUGAUCAAACCUUUGCUGAAAAGUUGAUGACCAAUCACUUGGGCAAAUCUGCUCCCUUCAUGAAGCCAAAACCACCAAAGCCCGGUUGCCAAGCUGGUCACUUUGCUAUUGGCCAUUAUGCUGGCGUUGUAACAUACAACAUCACUGGCUGGCUUGAGAAGAACAAGGAUCCCUUGAACGACACUGUCGUCGAUCAAUUCAAGAAAUCCAACAACGAAUUGUUGAAGGAGAUCUUCUUGGAUCAUCCCGGACAAUCUGGCGGUGCUGAUGCCGGCGGCGGCGGCGGCAAGGGAGGUCGCGGUAAGAAGGGCGGCGGUUUCGCUACUGUCUCCUCAUCAUACCGUGAACAAUUGAACAACUUGAUGACAACAUUGCGUUCGACUCAACCUCACUUCGUCCGUUGCAUUAUCCCCAACGAAAUGAAGGCACCCGGUGUUGUUGAUUCUCACUUGGUUAUGCAUCAAUUGACCUGUAACGGUGUACUUGAAGGUAUCCGUAUUUGCCGUAAAGGUUUCCCCAACAGAAUGAUGUACCCUGACUUCAAAUUGCGUUAUUCGAUUUUGUGCCCACAAGUGCUUGCUAAGGAACCAAUGAAGAUUGAAAAAGCAGCACAACUUAUUUUGGAAUACAUUCAAUUGCCAGAUGAUCAAUUCCGUUUAGGCAAAACCAAGGUCUUCUUCCGUGCUGGUGUCUUGGGUCAAAUGGAAGAAUUGCGUGACGACCGUUUGAGCAAGAUCAUGUCAUGGAUGCAAGCCUGGAUCCGUGGUUACUUGACCCGUAAGGAGUUCAAGAAGAUCCAAGCCCAACGUGUCGCUUUGGAAGUCAUCCAACGCAACUUGCGCAAAUACUUGAAGUUGCGUACCUGGGCAUGGUGGAAAUUGUGGCAAAAGGUCAAACCUUUGCUCAAUGUCUCACGUGUUGAGGAUCAAAUCGCCAAACUCGAAGAGAAGGCAUCCAAGGCCCAAGAAGCCUUCGAGAAGGAAGAAAAGAUGCGCAAGGAAUUGGAAGCCCUCAACAGCAAAUUGUUGGCUGAAAAGACCGCCUUGUUGGAUUCCUUGUCCGGCGAAAAGGGAGCUUUGCAAGAAUACCAAGAGAAAUCUGCCAAGCUUACCGCCCAAAAGAACGACUUGGAAAACCAAUUGCGUGAUACCCAAGAGCGUCUCACUCAAGAGGAAGAUGCCCGCAACCAAUUGUUCCAAUCCAAGAAAAAGAUGGAGCAAGAGAUCAGCGGCUUGAAGAAGGAUAUUGAAGACUUGGAAUUGUCUAUCCAAAAAUCCGAUCAAGAUAAGGCAACCAAGGAUCAUCAAAUCCGCAACUUGAAUGAUGAAAUCGCCCAUCAAGAUGAGCUCAUCAACAAAUUGAACAAGGAGAAGAAGAUGCAAACUGAGCAAAACCAAAAGACCGCCGAGGAAUUGCAAGCUACUGAAGACAAGGUCAACCACUUGAACAAAGUCAAGGCCAAGUUGGAGCAAACCUUGGAUGAGUUGGAAGACUCCUUGGAGCGCGAAAAGAAAUUGCGCGGCGAUGUUGACAAAGCCAAGCGCAAGGUUGAAGGUGACUUGAAACUCACUCAAGAAGCCGUCGCCGAUUUGGAACGCAACAAGAAGGAACUUGAACAAACCAUCCAACGCAAGGACAAGGAAAUCAGCUCCUUGACUGCCAAAUUGGAAGAUGAACAAUCUUUGGUUGGCAAAUUGCAAAAACAAAUCAAGGAAUUGCAAUCCCGCAUCGAAGAGUUGGAAGAAGAAGUCGAAGCUGAGCGUCAAGCUCGUGCCAAGGCUGAGAAACAACGUGCCGAUUUGGCCCGUGAGUUGGAAGAAUUGGGCGAACGCUUGGAAGAAGCUGGCGGCGCUACCUCCGCUCAAAUUGAGUUGAACAAGAAGCGUGAAGCUGAACUCGCCAAAUUGCGUCGUGACUUGGAAGAAGCCAACAUCCAACACGAAGCUACCUUGGCUAACUUGCGCAAGAAGCACAACGAUGCCAUCGCCGAAAUGGCUGAACAAGUUGAUCAACUCAACAAAUUGAAGACCAAGGCUGAAAAGGAACGUCAAUCAUGCUACGGUGAAUUGAACGAUCUUCGUGGCAGCAUUGAUCAAGUCAGCAACGAAAAGGCUGCUCAAGAAAAGAUCGCCAAGCAAUUGGCCCACACUUUGAACGAAGUACAAGGCAAACUUGACGAAACCAACCGCACUUUGAACGACUUCGAUGCCUCGAAGAAGAAGUUGUCCAUUGAAAACAGCGACUUGCUCCGUCAACUUGAGGAAGCCGAAUCUCAAGUUUCACAAUUGAGCAAGAUCAAGAUCUCCUUGACGCAACAAUUGGAAGACACCAAACGUCUCGCUGAUGAGGAAGCUCGCGAACGCGCUACCUUGUUGGGCAAAUUCCGCAACUUGGAACACGACUUGGAUAACUUGCGUGAACAAGUUGAAGAAGAAGCCGAAGGCAAGGGAGACUUGCACCGUCAAUUGAGCAAGGCUAAUGCCGAUGCCCAAUUGUGGCGCAGCAAAUACGAAUCCGAAGGUGUUGCACGUGCCGAAGAAUUGGAAGAAGCUAAGCGCAAGUUGCAAGCUCGCUUGGCUGAAGCCGAAGAAACCAUCGAAUCAUUGAACCAAAAAUGCGUCGCUUUGGAGAAGACCAAGCAACGUUUGGCUACUGAAGUUGAAGAUUUGCAACUUGAGGUCGAUCGUGCUACCGCCAUCGCCAAUGCCGCCGAGAAGAAGCAAAAGGCCUUCGACAAGAUCAUCGGAGAAUGGAAAUUGAAGGUCGAUGACUUGGCUGCUGAAUUGGAUGCCUCACAAAAGGAAUGCCGCAACUACUCUACCGAGUUGUUCCGUCUCAAGGGUGCCUACGAAGAGGGACAAGAACAAUUGGAAGCUGUGCGCCGUGAAAACAAGAAUCUCGCCGAUGAAGUCAAGGACUUGCUUGACCAAAUCGGAGAGGGAGGUCGCAACAUCCACGAAAUCGAAAAGGCUCGCAAACGCUUGGAAGUCGAGAAAGACGAACUCCAAGCUGCCUUGGAAGAAGCCGAAGCUGCUUUGGAACAAGAAGAAAACAAAGUAUUGCGUGCCCAACUUGAAUUGUCUCAAGUCCGUCAAGAAAUUGAUCGCCGCAUCCAAGAGAAGGAAGAAGAAUUCGAAAACACACGCAAGAACCACCAACGUGCUCUCGAUUCCAUGCAAGCUUCCCUCGAAGCCGAAGCCAAGGGUAAGGCUGAGGCUCUUCGCAUGAAGAAGAAGUUGGAAGCCGACAUCAACGAACUCGAAAUUGCUUUGGACCACGCCAACAAGGCUAAUGCCGAGGCCCAAAAGAACAUCAAGCGCUACCAACAACAAUUGAAGGAUCUUCAAUCAGCCCUUGAAGAAGAACAACGUGCUCGUGAUGAUGCCCGCGAACAACUCGGUAUCUCAGAACGUCGUGCCAAUGCAUUGCAAAACGAACUCGAAGAAUCUCGCACAUUGUUGGAACAAGCUGAUCGUGGACGUCGCCAAGCUGAACAAGAAUUGAGCGAUGCUCAUGAGCAAUUGAACGAAGUUGCCGCCCAAAACGCCUCCAUCUCCGCUGCCAAGAGAAAGCUCGAAUCAGAAUUGCAAACCUUGCACUCUGACUUGGAUGAGUUGUUGAACGAAGCUAAGAAUUCCGAAGAAAAGGCCAAGAAGGCUAUGGUUGAUGCCGCCCGUUUGGCUGACGAACUCCGUGCCGAACAAGAACACGCCCAAACACAAGAGAAAUUGCGCAAGGCCUUGGAAGCCCAAAUCAAGGAAUUGCAAGUCCGUUUGGAUGAGGCUGAAGCCAAUGCCCUCAAGGGAGGAAAGAAGGCUAUUGCCAAGUUGGAACAACGCGUACGCGAACUCGAGAACGAAUUGGAUGGCGAACAACGCAGACACGCCGAUGCCCAAAAGAAUCUCCGCAAAUCGGAGCGUCGCAUCAAGGAAUUGACCUUCCAAUCUGAGGAAGAUCGCAAGAAUCACGAACGCAUGCAAGACUUGGUCGACAAAUUGCAACAAAAGAUCAAGACAUACAAGAGACAGAUCGAGGAAGCCGAAGAAAUUGCCGCCCUCAACUUGGCCAAAUUCCGCAAAGCCCAACAAGAAUUGGAGGAAGCCGAAGAACGCGCUGACUUGGCUGAACAAGCUAUCAGCAAAUUCCGCGGAAAGGGACGUGCUGGAUCCGUCGCUCGUGGUGGCAGCCCAGCUGUCGGUCGUCAGAGUGCGCUGCAAUAAACUCCUUUUUACUCAAAUUAAAUAAAAAAUAGUCAAAGAAUCUUCAAUAUCCCAAAAAUAUCAAAUAAAAAUGAAUAAAUUACCCCGCCCAGUGCGACCCCAACUCGAUGGUCAAGCCUUCCCCCCAAGAUUCGAUCUUGGAGAUGACUUCUAAACCAAAGGCACACUCCUUCCCACAAAAUACAAAAUAAAAAACUAACCAACCAACCAACAAAAUAGCAACAAAAAUUACAUCGAACAACUUACCAUCAAGCGUUGGAGCUUCCAACAUCUGGCUUCCAACUGCAAAAAUAUUCAAUUUUUACAUAUUAGAGACACGUUUUUCACACAUAAAUUUUAGUUUAACAAAUUAACGUAAAGAAAAAAAACAAAAAUAGUCGCACUGUCGAAUUAAUGACCUUCGAUACUUACUCUUCGAUUAAUCAUUUUUUGACAAUUUGUAUAAAAAAUUAUAAAUUGCAUAACUUAUCAAAAAGUGUAUUUAUUUAUUUUUUAUUGAUUUUUUUAUUUUAAUUUUUAUUUUAAUAUAACGAACACGCGCCCAAAUGUCCGAAUACGAAAUACGAGCAACAUGCUGAAAACGCGUUCGCACAUCUCGACUCUUCGUGGCUCGGCGACUUGGUGAACGAGCUGAAUUCACGGAAUUUGCACAAAAAAUUUUCCGAAGCAAAGAAUCUUUCAGCUGUUGGAGAGCAAGCGCUUCUAAAAUUACAAAUAACAUCAACGAAAAAAAAAAUAUUAAAAGAGAGAGACACGAUAACAUCAUACACAAAAAAUUUUCGGAAAAAUAAUACAGAAAAAUAUAUUUCAACAUCAGCCCGCUUUAAACACGUAUUAUGAUUCGAAAAAUUUGAAUUUUUUAAUAGAAAAGCCCAGAAUUUUAGAAGCACUUGUUUCCAAUGAUCGAAACGCAACAUCACGAUCUGAGGGAUUUUCUUGCGUUGCGAAAAUUGUGCGGAUUUUCUUUUUUCGGCACGACGUUUACUUUGAGAAACUGAGGCACAAGAGAGAGACGUGGCAGAUGCGUUGAAGCUGAGCAACGAUAUGUACUUGAAACAUUUGGGCGACAUUUUCUUUCUUAUCUCAUUUUUUUAAUAAAAUUGUUUUGUGUGAAAAAAAUUUAAAAAAAUAUUCUUACCUUUAUAUAAAAAAAUUGUAUACAUAAAAAUAUUAUAUAAAAAGUAUAUUUAAUAAAAACAAAAAGUAUGCCACACUAU